CACGUAGGGGCCAAGCGUUGUCCGGAUUUAUUGGGCGUAAAGAGCUCGUAGGCGGUUCGACAAGUCGGGUGUGAAAACUCCGGGCUCAACCCGGAGACGCCACCCGAUACUGUCGUGACUGGAGUCCGGUAGGGGAGUGGGGAAUUCCUGGUGUAGCGGUGAAAUACGCAGAUAUCAGGAGGAACACCGGUGGCGAAGGCGCCACUCUGGGCCGGUACUGACGCUGAGGAGCGAAAGCGUGGGUAGCAAACAGG
rnacentral:rRNA from 1 species